CCCCUUAAGGUUCUUAGGAGGAUUAGGUUCCUAGAGCUGCGCUGGUCACACUGGCUGCUCUUGUGGGCUCAAAAUCCCGGAGCCCCAGACAGAGGUGCCUCCGAACGCUCCUGAGGAAAGAAUUACCCGAGCAUCUGGCCAGAAGAUGAGCAUCACCCUUGAUCGGGACUGGGUAUUCACCCCAAUGGACAUAAUCUCAUGCAGGUUCUUAGAACUAUCCAGUGAACAGAAGGAUGCAAUUCCUCCAAAGUCACAGAGGUGAGGAGGAGACAAAGGAGAAGGGAUUUGCUUCCAGAAGCCAAGCUGCCCCUGUGACUCCAAUUGUGCUCUACCCCCUCCACUCUCUUCUCAAGGGACCAUCCUCCACUCUGGACCUAUUCACCACUUACAGUCAAGCCUCAAUCAAGCAAGGCACAUCACUCCUACCAGGCACCUAACUCCUGGGUAGAGCACCUUCUGCAGACGAGAAGAGGCUGAGCCCACAACCUCCUUUCUGGCAUCUUUAUUUUUCUAUCUGGUACAUGAACAAAGUGAACGUGGUCAGAAAAGUCAGCUGCACUGAAACACUUGAGCCGAUGGUAAAACGGAGGGCGCGUGGACAUGGAAGGGCGGGGUGGCAAUUCCAGACCAGCUUCCCCCAGAGGGCUUGUGCGCCAAGCCCGCGACCAGAGGCUGCUCUGGGCAGGACCGUGCAGUGCAUCUCUGGUGAGGAGGGACAAGAAGGACCAGUCACAACAGGGACUGCAGCCGGGCAUGAGUUUAUUGGCUUCUGGCC